rnacentral:rRNA from 1 species
CGUAUGGUGCAAGCGUUAUCCGGAAUCAUUGGGCGUAAAGCGCGCGUAGGCGGCUUGUUAAGCAGGAAUUUAAAUCUUAGGGCUCAACCUUAAGUCGGUUCCUGAACUGGCAGGCUCGAGUGCGGUAGAGGAAGGUGGAAUUCCCAGUGUAGCGGUGAAAUGCGCAGAUAUUGGGAAGAACACCGAUGGCGAAGGCAGCCUUCUGGGGCCGCCACUGACGCUGAGGCGCGAAAGCUAGGGAGCGAACAGGAUU